rnacentral:lncRNA from 1 species
AUAUUACCUUCGCAUUUAUAUCAUAUUUUCUAUCUACGUGUUUCUUAAAUAUUUCCUUCUCACACGUAAUAUCCGCACCCAUUAAUUCUUUCGCAACAUAAUAUCCGUGAAUUUCUCAAAUAUCUCAUUAAUCCACCUACUAUUCAACCAAUCAUUUCAAAUAAUUAACUAAGUAAUAAUUUAUUCCCAAAUAAAGAUAAAUAUUUUUCUUAUAACGCGUAAUAUCCGCACCCGCCAAUUCUUUUGCAACGUAAUAUCCGUGAAUUUCUCAAAUACUCAUUAAUCCACCUACCAUUUGAAUUUAAUAAUUAUAGGUGACUUUGAAAUAAAAUCUCCUUCAUUCAUUAUAGAUGAUUUUUAAUAAUAUUGUAAAAGAUACUAUUUCCUUAAAAAUUUUAAUUUUAUUUUUUCUAAAAUAGUCAUAUUCCCUAAAGUAGUAAUAUCCGCACAACAUAAUUAUAGGUGACUUUGAAAUAAAAUUUUCUUCAUUAUAGAUGAUUUUUAAUAAUAUUGUAAAAGAUACUAUUUCCUUAAAAAAUUUAAUUUUAUUUUUCCUAAAAUAGUCAUAUUCCCUAAAGUAGUAAUAUCCGCACAAUAUCCGUGAAUUUCUCAAAUAUCUCAUUAAUCCACCUACCAUUUGAAUUUAAUAAUUAUAGGUGACUUUGAAAUAAAAUCUCCUUCAUUCAUUAUAGAUGAUUUUUAAUAAUAUUGUAAAAGAU